rnacentral:rRNA from 1 species
GGAGGGGGCUAGCGUUGCUCGGAAUUACUGGGCGUAAAGGGCGCGUAGGCGGACUUUUUAGUCAGGCGUGAAAGCCCCGGGCUCAACCCGGGAACUGCGCUUGAUACUGGAAGUCUAGAGUUCUGGAGAGGGUGGUGGAAUUCCCAGUGUAGAGGUGAAAUUCGUAGAUAUUGGGAAGAACACCGGUGGCGAAGGCGGCCACCUGGCCAGAUACUGACGCUAAGGCGCGAAAGCGUGGGGAGCAAACAGGAUUAGAUACCCUGGGUAGUCCACGCCGUAAACGAUGUGUGCUAGACGUCGGGCAGCUUGCUGUUCGGUGUCGCAGCUAACGCGUUAAGCACACCGCCUGGGGGAGUACGGCCGCAAGGCUA